rnacentral:rRNA from 1 species
GUCGAGCGGACAGAUGGGAGCUUGCUCCCUGAUGUCAGCGGCGGACGGGUGAGUAACACGUGGGUAACCUGCCUGUAAGACUGGGAUAACUCCGGGAAACCGGGGCUAAUACCGGAUGCUUGAUUGAACCGCAUGGUUCAAUUAUAAAAGGUGGCUUUUAGCUACCACUUACAGAUGGACCCGCGGCGCAUUAGCUAGUUGGUGAGGUAACGGCUCACCAAGGCAACGAUGCGUAGCCGACCUGAGAGGGUGAUCGGCCACACUGGGACUGAGACACGGCCCAGACUCCUACGGGAGGCAGCAUUAGGGAAUCUUCCGCAAUGGACGAAAGUCUGACGGAACAACGCCGCGUGAGUGAUGAAGGUUUUCGGAUCAUAAAACUCUGUUGUUAGUGAAGACCAAGUACCGUUCCAAUAGGGCGGUACCUUGACGGUACCUACCCACAAAUCCGGUGUUAAAUACAUGCCAACACCUGUUGUAAUUCUUCGGUGGCAAACGAAGUCAAAAAAUUAUUGCGCCGAAAUGGGGGCGCACCCGGUUUCUUAAAGUUGAUUUCAAACCCCCCGAGCUCAACCCCGAGAGGGGAUUUGUAAUAGGGUUGAACUGAGUCUCUAAAAGGG